UUAAAACAGUGCCCCCAGAAUACUCUCUCCGACGAACACAGAUCCUGAAAACGCAAAAAACGCAAGAAUGCAAAGAAAGGAGUGGAAUACACAAAUGGGGAUGAAGAAAAAGGUGAAGCAUAAGACCCUUAUAUACACAUUUAACUGAGGGUUUGGCUCAUACUUUUUACAACUUCGUAAAAGGUGUCGGGCUGCCUCUCAUGAUAAAAAAUUGCUCAAGGUGCCUCUGUAUUCGUGAGAAGGGCAUCAUUACCACUUCACCUUCCUGCGGUUUCAUUGUUCCUUUCAACAGCCUCCCCUCCUUCCUCGUGGCCCAUUUGCCCCAAUAGUCUUUCUUUUUCAUUCAUUUUCUUGCCUAUUUGCCCCAAUAGUCUUUCUUUUUCAUUCAUUUUCUUGUCCACUUUCUUGCUUUCUUUAAUGGUUGUAUAUUGAAAGUAGAAACAGUGAACAUUUGAAUUUUGAUGUACUUUUCUAUUAAAUUCCAA